UUGAACCCACAAACUUUAUACUAUAAAAUGGUGCUACACAGCCACCUAAGUCAAAUGCCAUGAUUAAAACAUAUAUGUAAAACAAACAGCAUAUCGAUUAGUAGUGUUUUUUUUGUAACAAAAAUUUAUCUUUUAUUCGUGGGUGCGUAGGUAGAAUCCAUUGAAAUUUACUUAUAUCUAAGCAAGCCCCUUUUUUGAAGUUGAAUUGUGUUGGAUGUAGUCGAGGUAAUCUGGUUUGGGUAAUGGUGAGGGUAUUGUCCGAGAUGGUCAGUGCAAAUUGAUUUUUGCUUGCACACUGUUGCUUGGGCAGUGUUCUAAUACUGUGGCAAAAAUGAAGCGUGGCUAUUUGGUAUCAUCUAUGUUUGAAUCAGGAUAUUUGCUGGUUGCAGAUUGAAGUUCUCAAAGGUUUUGGUGCAUUUCCUGAAUGAUAUGUAUGGUCCCCCUUGGUUCUUGAUUUAUGAUAUGGUUGUGAUGAAGCAAUUGUUAUAUGGCAUACAUUGUUUAGUGUCUCUUUGUUUUCAGGAGGCUAAUGAUAGGUGAUGCUCUUGCUAAUUGGGUUGUGAUCAUGUUCCUGAAGACGAGAUUUUUCAAAAAAUUCUAGUCUUUCUUCUUUAGUUAAAGGUUCAGUAAAUUUGGAUAGAAUAGGGACUGCCUAUGUUAGGCUUUCUUGAUGUCCCUCUUUAUUUUCUGCUAUAGUUUCUUUUAUGCUCUUUUUCAGAGGUUAGACAACAAUGUCAGGGAAGCAUUGACGAAUUAGCUUAAAUAGUUGUGUCUGGUGUUAUGCAAGCAAGCUGUUUGCUAAAAUGGUUGGUAUCAUUUUAAGUAAAAGGGGUUUGGAUUGUCCAGCUAUAGCUCUGUGAUUGUGAUAUUUGGGUUUGCUUUUUUGUUCUUUUUGUUGUGUCUUUUUUCCUUAUAUUCUUUCCAUUUGUUUUAUUUUAUUGUAGAAAAUGUCUCCAUAGGAAAUUACCCGAAAGUUUCUUUGUAUUUAGAUUAAGAUGACAAGAAGUUAGUGUGUUGCAUUAUCUUUCUUUGAUAAGGUUGUCUUCUUUGUUUUUUUCCCCCUCAUUCGAUGUCUGAGAACAUGUCUUCACAAUAUGGACUCCAGAGAUUAGUGCUUUUGCUUCUGUUUUUGUUUCUCUCCCGCAGUUUCACUCCUUCUUGUUGGUUGAUUGGAAGUGCUGUAGAUGAAGGUGUUUAUGUCCUCUUUCAUGAUAUUGAUUGUGAUUUCUGACUCUGUAUACUGUUUGAAUAAAUUUGAUUGCUGCCUGUGUAAAUAUUAAAUCAAAAUUGAAAUUCUGUGAAAUAAUUCUGCCAACUUAUGCAAGGAACAGCACAUUGAUGCCUUUGCUAAAAAGACCUCUUUCAUUGCUUUUUUCUACAACAGGUUUUGGCUGAAGCAAGUUACAACACUUGGCAUGUCAAAUAGACUAGGAGUUCCAGCAAUUCCCAUUCUAUACAACUGAAUGAUACCAAUGAAGAAGAAGGCCAUACUGGAAAGAAUGCGCAAAUUCAAACUGCAACACGAGACCUGAAGUUCCUUGGCAGAUCAGUGAUGAGGAGAGAUAGAUUGCUAAUUGUAUUUAUAUGAAUAUACUGGGGGUUGGGUUGUUUGUAACUACAAUAUGACACAUGAAUGUUCGUGUUCGCAUCCAGUCAUCAAAGGCAGUUAGUUGUCUAAAACUUUGAUACCUCAACAUUUGAUGUUGGAUAUGAUAACUAGUUUUUGUUUUUGGGAUAAGAAUUCCAUUUUCAUAAUGUACUGAUCACUUAUGAAGUUUUCGUGCUAAUGCAGGCUAGAGUUCAUGGCCUGAGCUCUUUUAAGUGCAGGCAGUGUUGCAGCAACAAUUCAGAGGGAGAAUGCUUUGGUCACUGUCUGAUUGUGUUAGAAGGAAUAACUGCACUGAUUGUCUGUGCAUCUGACUGUACUUUUGGGUAGAUAAAGAUUGCGUUGUUGCAGGGUUGCUGGUGCUUGACUAGUGGUUGUUAUUGAGCGAUGACCAAUGAUAAUUUUCUCUACCGUAUUGCCUUUCGCGGUAACAUUUUGUUGCAUGGCUCGGCUCUCUUCCUUGUUGAGCAGCCACUAUGAACACCAAGAUUUGGCUUCUUCAAGGUUCCACCAACUUCUCUACCUGUAUUUCGGCCCCGUUUGGGGACUUACCUUUUUAGCUAAAAAGUCAAAAAGUUACCAUUUUAGCCAAAAAGCCAACAACUCAUACCAAAAGUCAAAGAUUCUCUUUUCUCUCUACUUUUUGCACAUCUUUUCGUAAUUAGCCAAAAAGUCGUUCCAAACAUAUAAGUUUUUUUUACCUACCUUUUUAGCCAAAUAGUCAAAAAGUUACUAAAUUAGCCUGUUCUCAAACGAGGCCUUCGUUUCUUUAGCUUGAGAUCGAUGGCCACAAAUGAGGUGCAACCUUAGCUCAUUGUUCGUAUCCAUUGUCUAUGGUGUCAAUGUUACUUUCUGGCACACUCCUUGGUUUUUUGGCAGCAACUUGGAUUAUUAUCAACUCGAUAAGUUUUACUGCUUACCGGGCCUAUUAAGUGGAUUGAAUUUUUCGCAUGACCCCCUCUGGACUAGACCACUACAAGUACAGAUCAACAAGGCUGUGAAAAUGAAAGGGAAAUUCAAACUGUGAAAUAAUAACUCCUCUCAUGCAUGUUUAUUUGUCUUCCAUGUCUGCAGGAGAGAGAUUGUAACUACAAUAUGACAUGAACAUGUUCUCAUCCAGUCGUCAAAGGCAAUCCUCUAAAACUUUGAAACUUCAACAUUUGAUAUCCUAUAUGAUAACUAGAUUUUUUUUUUUUUUGAACUUGUUUGGCAAAAAUGCAUUUUGUGUUUUAACAUUCCUGCAAUAUAUGGGCAUCAUUUAUUCAA